ensembl:lncRNA
CUCCGAUGCUCAGGCCAGCCAGCUAUUCUGUGAUGAGGCUGUGGCUGGUGCACUGUAGGUUGGAGGUGGUUUCAAAACACUUCCUCUGAAUUUCAUUAUGGCUCAGAUUCUUUGUGGAAAAGAAAGGGCAUGAGCACUUGCAGUGUUGCUGCUGUUCUGUGAGGCUGAAUGUGGGUUCACAAUGAUGAUGAUAGCAACAGAUCUUGUUUUUAAAAUACUUCUACACAGUUUCAUGAAGCAGUGAAGGGUUGCUGUACUUGCCAAGCAAUCCAGAAUCACCACCUUCAGGAAAUACUUAUGGCAAAAUGGGCCACAUCAGAUGGCUUCGGAGCUGUUCUCCACCCUCUGAAUGCCAUGCAGAUAAGAGAGGAAAGAAAAAGCACUUCUGUAUCCAGUGCUUAGAAGAACCCUUAGCUGGAGGUCAGGGGUGGAGGUGGGGGGAAUGGUGAGCAAAAGGGCAGUGGUACCAAAUGAUCUCUGAAGGUGGUCCUUGAAAUUACUCAGUGAGAGUGAUUAAGCUUUAGGGAAGAGAGACCUCAGAAGAGUGCUGGUUUCAAAAUCUUUCUUUGCUACCUGCUUGGUUCCUGCUGUCUUUCUGGUGAGAGCUACAUGGUGGCUGCAUACUGAAGUCAGGCUGCCCAAGGGACAAUCAGCAGGGACCAUCCUGUGGAUGAGCAAAAUAUCCCCCAAGAAAGAAGAGGUCUCCCCAGGGGUGUGCUUUGGUUUUAGUGCUCCACCAAGAAUGGGAGAACAUUCCUCUCCUUUGGGGUAGCAUCAGGAAAAUUCAUAGUUAUCCCCUAGUUUGGCUCUUCCUUUCUGGUUUAGAUAUGGAGGUCACAGGUGGUAAUUCCAGCUUGUUGUGCCUUACAGUGCAUUUUGUAGGUAGAUGGAGAGCUUGCCCGAAUAGUUUGAUAGAAUCUUCAUACAAAAUGAGGGCCUGCUCUUCCAUGGGCCAUCCCGACCCAGGAUGCUGUGAGCAGAACUUUCUGAAGCAGGUAAUUAUAUGGCCCCAAGGCUUUCUGCCCAGUGUGGGCAAGUGCUCUUGUGUUUGGUGAAAAGAAGCUUUGGUACGUAGCUGAGCCAAUAUUCAGGCAAGGAGCUCAACUCCAAUGAGACAAGGCUAAAGCCAAGUGAACUGUGGGAAUGUUUUAGUGUACUCAAGUUAUUUCCAUUGAGUGGGAACUGAUUGAUUUGUUUACUUAAAGAAAGUAGAUGUUCAACAUAAAGGUGAACAUUUUAAGAUGCUACCAGUUGGUCUUCCUUAAAAUAUGGUGAACCCAUAGCCUCCACUUGAUGACAGAGGUCUGUGCUAUUGAAGUCUGUACCUCUCAUGCCCUUGUGAAGGGAGAGAGCCUUCAGAGCUCUGGAGAAAGCAGGACUAUGCUUGUGGUGAUGCCUUUGAAGAGGGAAGGGCCACUGAUGCAUGAAGCUCCCUCAGUUUCCCUAGCACAGCAUUUUUCUGGAGCUUAUCUAUGCAAUAAGCCUUUCAGGUGCCUGUUUGCCCUGUGGUAGUAGAAGGACAAAGCAGUUUGCCCCAUUACAAGAAACUCCCUCUGCUCUACCUUAUUCAGGAGCAGUCAGGAAAUCUGUCUCUCUCCCCCACUCCCCCAUAGUGCUUUCCUUUCUCCAAAAGCAGCAUGCCACAUCUUUCUCUUACCCCAGCAAUGAAUCUGGGUUAUUGUUUGCUCAAGGUUAUUGAUGCUACCUGCUCUUUCAGCAGGAAAAGCCUCCACGCACAGCUGGGAGAGAGCCCGCAGAUUUUCCCAAUCUCCAUUUAUGCAGAAGACACUGAGCAGAGUGUAAAAGGGAUGACAGAAGCAUGGCACGAUCCUCCUCCUUCCCUCCCCUUCCUGGCUCUUUGAUUCAAGGAGCAGGGGCUGGUUUGUGAAUGAGGAGCUGAAACUCAUUCAGACUGAACGAGUAACUGAUAAAGGAUGCUUGUUAGCUGAAGCCAACCACAAAAAGGUAGCAGUUCUCAGGAGGGGGCUUAUUUCCCAGUGAUUCAUCGGUGCAUAACAGAUGCAAGGAACUAAUAAAAUAUUACAGACGUGCAGAGCUUUGAUCUUUCUGCUCUUUCUUUCGUUUUCCCAGGGGUGAGGGCUGUUGUUGAAGUGAAUGGAGAGGAAAAGGCUAAUCUGGCAGCAGGGCUUGUGGAGAGGAGGUCAGUAGCCCCAGUCCAGAAGCAUUCUUUGGGGCUUGACAGAGAUUGGCCAUAGUGCAUUUGUGUAGGCUUUGCAGCACUUGCUCUGCUUCCCCUUGCACUGAUGUUAACCUGCUUGCAGGUCUGCUGAAGUAGGGCUGGGGCAUGAAUGAACAUUUUGCUGUUAUAUUUCUUUCUGCAAGCUCAGAACUGUGAGCAUGAAAAAGUAAAAUGCAUUUCUGGGUCAAAAGCUCUUGUCUUCCCAACUUCUGUUUCAGCUGCUGUAACUCCCAGAGACCUAACAGCCUUGAAUCUGGGGCCCUCAACAGCCACCAGCUUGGAAUUUAUUUUUUUUUUACUGUGACUGAUCUUCAGGAUGACUACAUUUAAGUUUUGUCUCUGUGAAUGCAAUGAAGAGAGAAAUUUGUUUCCGUUACAGAGAAAUCACUACAGUACUGGAAGGCCAUGAUGAGGUGUCCCUGGAGCCUUCUCUUCUACAAAUUAAAGAAGCCCAGCUCCCUGAACCUUCUCAUCAGAGAGCUAGUCCCUCCCUCUGAUCAUCUAAUGGCCCUCCUCUGGACCCACUCCAACAAUUCCACAUCUUUACCGUGUUGGGAACUCAAGGCCUGGAUGCAGCACUUCAGAUGGGGCUUCAUGAGGGCAGAGCAAAGAGGGACAAUCCCCUCCUUUGCCCUGCUGGCCACUCCUCUUUUGAUGCAGCCCAAGAUGCAGUUGCCCUUCUGGGCUGCAAGCACCUUGCACUUGGCCUAUUAAACAUCACUAGGUUCUUGUAAG